ACAGGUAGAGAUUCCUGUACCAGUGCUAAUUGGUUAACCGAUGGGGUGACACAGAAUGAUAGGGAAGCGCACGAAUGGAAAUGUGCGUCCAAGCAGGGAGUGUGAGAAGUAGGCAAAUACGCUUCUCACGAAGCAUGAGCUGUGAUGGGGAAGGAAAUUAAGUACGGAAGUUCCUGAUUUCACGCUGUCAAGAAAAGCCUCUAGGAAGAGUAGUACUGCCCGUA
rnacentral:rRNA from 1 species